UAUUUUUUACCCGUCCGCGGCGCGAGUACAACGCCAUCUGCGAUCGACAAUGAUCCCUGGAUCUACGCCUCCUGUACAGUGCCUGUUCGCUCUGCGAUCGAUUAACUAGGGGACAAUAAUCCCCCCCUGUUCGCUCUGCGAUCGAUUAACUAGUCGGUGAUCCCUCGCUCUACAGUAGGCUACACCUCCUGUAUAGCCUGCUUGGAGCGAAACGAACGAGAAGCCCCUGACUGCAGGCCGCAGUACCUCAAUGAGCUCAACGUGGGCGGGACCUCAACGUGGACGGAGCUUCACAGAUGACGCGUUACAUCCUGUUUCGCGGGUCGUUCUGUCACUCAUAGCGGCAGAGUACAAUGGAGAGAUGAGUAUUCAAAACUACUUUAAGAGAAUACGCGUGAGGAUGAGGAUGAGAGACGAGGAAAGGAGAAGAGACCACAGGUAACUUAGCCAAUGUUAGCAUUCAACAGUGAGUUGCAAUGCAGAGAGCAAACUAGAAUCAAGCUUGUUUUCAAUUCUAGCCGGUGGUCAGUGAAUCUGCUGGCACAAACAGUCAGAGUACUGAGGGAGAGGCAGCAGGUCCCAGUGUGAUAGGAGCAGCACCAGGUCCCAGUGUGGUAGCAGCAGGUGCAGGUGAACAAGCAGCACAGUUCCAAGCCAUUCAAAGAGAUAGACAUAGUAUAAAUAGGAAGGAGAACUCUACCAUUUAAAUACAGUAAUACCAAUGCAUUAUUUUCAGAUUCCAAGCAUCGCCACUCAGGAUGGAACCCUGACUGGCUCAAAAUGCCACAGUUCAAGAAUUGGCUCUACCUCACCCAGCAUGGAAUGUUUUGCCGAAUCUGCAGGCAACACAAGCCUCCAGUUAAGAAAGGCCCCUUAAAACGGGCUUUCAUCGAAAUUGGUAUUCUUGUUUUCCGCAUGGAUUAUAUGGACCGCCACAUCUCCUCAGAGCCUCAUCAGUAUAGUCUGAAGCAGCAGGUCUCACUUGCAUCAGGUAGAUAAUUUUUUCAUGUAUUGCUAAUUUCUGCA